rnacentral:rRNA from 1 species
UACGUAGGGGGCAAGCGUUGUCCGGAAUCAUUGGGCGUAAAGAGCGCGUAGGCGGUCCGGUAAGUCGGUUGUGAAAACUGGGGGCUCAACCCUCAGAGGCCGAUCGAUACUGUCGGGCUAGAGUCCGGAAGAGGCGAGUGGAAUUCCUGGUGUAGCGGUGAAAUGCGCAGAUAUCGGGAGGAACACCGGUGGCGAAGGCGGUUCUCUGGGCCUUACCUGACGCUGAGGAGCGAAAGCGUGGGGAGCGAACAGG